GCGCGAGCCGGCUCCCGCCGCCCGCCCGGCUCUUCUGGAGCCCAACGGUCUCCACGUGAGCGCGCCCGCGCGCUCCGCCACCGCCGGUGCUGACAGGGUCGCCUCACCUGAGCCGGGCUCCGCCCCCCUGCUCGCUGGAGGAGGCGGUGACCCUUCUCCGAUCCGACCUGACAGUAUCGGAGGAGGCGGGAACGUCCAGGCCGGCGUCUCCGCGAUGGGAUUUCCUCCCUCUUCCGCCCACCCCGCCUCUACGUCCCCCGGCUCCUUCAGUCCGUUCGCCGCCGCACUCUGAGAACACCGCGGCGGCGGCCGACAGUAAACGGAAGUGACGUCCGCGAGCGAGCCUACUCCGCUCCAUUCUUCCUCCCACCGGCCGUGCUGCAGCCAAUGAGAAGGGGAGGGGGCGGGCCCGGGCCCGGAGGACAGCCAAUCGGCGCGCGGAACCCGGAGGAAUUUACUCGGCCCCCCGCAACACCGGCCAAUCCACGGCUCCGGGAGCUCGCUGUGUUUACUACCGACCGAAUCCGUGAGCUCUCUGGCCAAUCACCGUUUGCCUUACAACACGUAAAACUGUUAUCAAACGCCUUCUAAGGCGGGAUUUAUCCCUAAGCGGCUCUAGGUUUGGACUGCGGGGAAGAGACUGUGGGCCGCAGCCAAUGAAGAGCCGUUACGGUUGAGGUCAAACCCAGGCUAAAAACGCGGAACCAGAAAUCCCGUCGGUCCGACAGCACUUGGGUGCGAUGCCGCCCUAAGUCGCUGAGCCGGCGGGUCCCGGCGGCUGCAUCUCCCGGCGCGGGCACGGGAGGAGUCCGGCGGGGCUGCCGGCGCCGACUCGCCCUGCGCUCCGCCCUCCGAUACGGGUCCGGUACACCUGCCAGCUCCAGAACCGCCGUGGAAGGCCCGCGCACUUCCGUGGGACGCCGCCAGAGCUGGCUCCGGGGCGGCUGCCGGGCUCCCAGGUGGCUCCCGAGCUCCCGGGGACACGCUCGGACGCAGAGCCCGAGAGCCUCCCGGGGGCGCCGGGCCCUGGGCGGGGAGGAAGCCCUCCUGCCCCCGGUGAAGAGAAGCGGGCGGGUAAGGGGCCUGCCGGCGGAGCUGUCCGGGAGCUGUGCGAGCCUCGGGAGACAAAGGCGGGCUGGGGAUCGCCGCUGGAGUCUUCUCGGGGUGAGGUGGGGGUAAGAGGGAGACUUUAAAAAAAUGGAACACCCCGUUUCUUCAGAACGAAAUGCCUGAAUAUCGUUACAGCUGAUCCAUCCAUUCCGACGUUACAGGUUGGAAAAGCUGCCCUUUGGAUUUAUGUCUUUACUCAAUGAAGUCGGCUGCGAAAUUCUUUUCAUUAA